UGGAAGGUUGGGAUGCAGCUCUCUGGAUGAGGAGCUAUUUUAAAUCCAGGGGAGCAGCACGUCAGGGGCAUGUCACAGCUCUCGUGUCCCUACACCUCCAGCACUGGAGCUCACGGGGCGGACGACACUGUUGGGGAUGAUCUUUCCUUGGGCUCAGGGCGAGAGAGAUUUCCUUUUGGCUCUGGUUGCCCCUUGAAGAGUGGGGUGAGCAAUAGCAGAACGGGUAAGGAUUACUAUAUAAUAAUAAAAAAAAAAAAGAGAUGGUUCUGCUAUACAGCAAAAAAAUCCCUCCCAACCUUGCCAGCUCAGCAGGGAAAAGCAUGAGAAGCAUCGGGUGCUCAGCCCGGAGGGGGAGCUGGCUUGUCUCUUCGCAUUCACAGGACACAAUCCCCUCUAGCAGAUGUCCUCAUAAAGCCUGGGUGGGCAGCCACGGCCGGGCAAUGUCACAUCCAGAAAAUACAGCGCUCUGCCUGCGCCUUGCCCUUCGCGGCCGCCAGGGCCAGCGCACAGCUGUUUGCAGCAUGAUAAGAUCUCCAAGCUGACAGAUUAGCUGACUGUGACUUUGGCAGGACCAGCUCCAGCCCGUGGGGGAAAGGGCCAACUUGGGCAAUGCCUCGCAUCACCUUUCAGGAAAGGGUGCAGCUCCUUUCCAGAGGCAAACAAUGGCCGUGACCUGCCCAGGCGCCCUGUUUCCUCCUUCUGUGGGCAGCCCUGGUGUGUGACCCCAAGCUGGGUGCGGUGUGAGGAGGGUGGUGGGGAGCCCGGGACGUGUUUGCCUCCACGUGUCCCCCAGCUCCCCUGUGCUGGCACUGUCCCCAUGGCCCUGCUCUUCUCUAAGCUGUGCAGAGGAAAAGGAUCUGGGGGUGUUGUUGGUCAAUGCCUGCCUGAACGUGAGCCAGGAGUGUGCCCAGGGGGCCAGGAAGGCCGAUGGCACCCUGGUUGUGUCAGGAAUAGUGCAGGCAGUAGGAGCAGGGAGGGGAUCGUCCCCCUGGGCUCUGCUCUGGCGAGGCUGCACCUUGAGUGCUGGGUUCAGCUUUGGGCCCCUCACUACAAGAAGGGCAUCGAGGCCCUGGAACAUGUCCAGAGCGGGUCUACGAAGCUGCGACACGAGUCCUGUGAGGAGC